AUACGUAGGGGGCGAGCGUUGUCCGGAUUUACUGGGCAUAAAGGGUGAGUAGGCGGUUAUGUAUGUCAGGUGUAAAAGGCGUAGGCUUAACUUACGUUAGCAUUUGAAACUGCAUAACUUGAGUGCAGGAGAGGUAAGUGGAAUUCCUAGUGUAGCGGUGAAAUGCGUAGAUAUUAGGAGGAACACCAGUGGCGAAGGCGACUUACUGGACUGUAACUGACGCUGAGUCACGAAAGCGUGGGGAGC
rnacentral:rRNA from 1 species